UACGUAGGGCGCAAGCGUUAUCCGGAAUUAUUGGGCGUAAAGAGCUCGUAGGCGGUUUGUCGCGUCUGCCGUGAAAGUCCGGGGCUCAACUCCGGAUCUGCGGUGGGUACGGGCAGACUAGAGUGAUGUAGGGGAGACUGGAAUUCCUGGUGUAGCGGUGAAAUGCGCAGAUAUCAGGAGGAACACCGAUGGCGAAGGCAGGUCUCUGAGCAUUAACUGACGCUGAGGAGCGAAAGCAUGGGGAGCGAACAGG
rnacentral:rRNA from 1 species